GAGUUUGAUCCUGGCUCAGGACGAACGCUGGCGGCGUGCUUAACACAUGCAAGUCGAACGAGAAUCUAUUGAAAGAGUUUUCGGACAAUGGAAGUAGAGGAAAGUGGCGGACGGGUGAGUAACGCGUGAGGAACCUGCCUUGAAGAGGGGACAACAGUUGGAAACGACUGCUAAUACCGCAUGAUGCAUAAGGGUCGCAUGAUUCUUAUGCCAAAGAUUUAUCGCUUCAAGAUGGCCUCGCGUCUGAUUAGCUAGUUGGCGGGGUAACGGCCCACCAAGGCGACGAUCAGUAGCCGGACUGAGAGGUUGAGCGGCCACAUUGGGACUGAGAUACGGCCCAGACUCCUACGGGAGGCAGCAGUGGGGAAUAUUGGGCAAUGGGCGCAAGCCUGACCCAGCAACGCCGCGUGAAGGAGAAGGCUUUCGGUAUGUAAACUUCUAUCAGCAGGGAAGAAAAUGACGGUACCUGACUAAGAAGCCCGGCUAACUACGUGGCAGCCGCCGCCGUAAC
rnacentral:rRNA from 1 species